rnacentral:rRNA from 1 species
UUAGGAAUCUGCCUAGUAGUGGGGGAUAACUAUCCGAAAGGAUAGCUAAUACCGCAUAGACCUACGGGUGAAAGGGGGCGUAAGCUCUCGCUAUUAGAUGAGCCUAAGUCGGAUUAGCUAGUUGGUGGGGUAAAGGCCUACCAAGGCGACGAUCUGUAGCUGGUCUGAGAGGAUGAUCAGCCACACUGGGACUGAGACACGGCCCAGACUCCUACGGGAGGCAGCAGUGGGGAAUAUUGGACAAUGGGCGAAAGCCUGAUCCAGCCAUGCCGCGUGUGUGAAGAAGGCCUUUUGGUUGUAAAGCACUUUAAGUGGGGAGGAAAAGCUAAUAGCUAAUACCUAUUAGCCCUGACGUUACCCACAGAAUAAGCACCGGCUAACUCUGUGCCAGCAGCCGCGGUAAUACAGAGGGUGCAAGCGUUAAUCGGAAUUACUGGGCGUAAAGCGCGCGUAGGUGGUUACUUAAGUCAGAUGUGAAAGCCCCGGGCUUAACCUGGGAACUGCAUCUGAUACUGGGUAACUAGAGUAGGUGAGAGGGAAGUAGAAUUCCAGGUGUAGCGGUGAAAUGCGUAGAGAUCUGGAGGAAUACCGAUGGCGAAGGCAGCUUCCUGGCAUCAUACUGACACUGAGGUGCGAAAGCGUGGGUAGCAAACAGGAUUAGAUACCCUGGUAGUCCACGCCGUAAACGAUGUCUACCAGUCGUUGGGUCU